GAUGAAGAACGUAGCGAAAUGCGAUAAGUAAUGUGAAUUGCAGAAUUCAGUGGAUCAUCGAAUCUUUGAACGCACAUUGCGCCCGUCAGUAUUCUGGCGGGCAUGCCUGUUCGAGCGUCAUUACGCCCCUCAAGUCCCCUGUGGACUUGGUGUUGGGGAUCGGCGAGGCUGGUUUUCCAGCACAGCCGUCCCUUAAAUUAAUUGGCGGUCUCGCCGUGGCCCUCCUCUGCGCAGUAGUAAAACACUCGCAACAGGAGCCCGGCGCGGUCCACUGCCGUAAAACCCCCCAACUUUUUAUAGUUGACCUCGAAUCAGGUAGGACUACCCGCUGAACUUAAGCAUAUCAUAAGCGGAGGA
rnacentral:misc_RNA from 1 species